rnacentral:rRNA from 1 species
UAGUCCACGCUGUAAACGGUGGGUACUAGGUGUGGGAUCCAUUCCACGGAUUCUGUGCCGUAGCUAACGCAUUAAGUACCCCGCCUGGGGAGUACGGCCGCAAGGCUAAAACUCAAAGGAAUUGACGGGGGCCCGCACAAGCGGCGGAGCAUGCGGAUUAAUUCGAUGCAACGCGAAGAACCUUACCAAGGCUUGACAUGGGCAGAAAUCCGGCAGAGAUGUCGGGUCCGCAAGGGCUGCUCAC